UACGUAGGGGGCGAGCGUUGUCCGGAAUCAUUGGGCGUAAAGCGCGUGUAGGCGGCCCGGUAAGUCCGCUGUGAAAGUCAAGGGCUCAACCCUUGAAUGCCGGCGGAAACUGCCGGGCUAGAGUCCGGAAGAGGCAAGUGGAAUUCCCGGUGUAGCGGUGAAAUGCGCAGAUAUCGGGAGGAACACCUAUGGCGAAGGCAGCUUGCUGGGACGGUACUGACGCUGAUGCGCGAAAGCCAGGGGAGCGAACGGG
rnacentral:rRNA from 1 species